rnacentral:rRNA from 1 species
CUCCAACGAGCGCAACCCUGAUCCAGCCAUUCCGCGUGCAGGACGAAGGCCUUCGGGUUGUAAACUGCUUUUGUACGGAACGAAAAAGUCUUGGCUAAUACCCAGGAUCCAUGACGGUACCGUAAGAAUAAGCACCGGCUAACUACGUGCCAGCAGCCGCGGUAAUACGUAGGGUGCGAGCGUUAAUCGGAAUUACUGGGCGUAAAGCGUGCGCAGGCGGUUAUAUAAGACAGAUGUGAAAUCCCCGGGCUCAACCUGGGAACUGCAUUUGUGACUGUAUAGCUAGAGUGCGGCAGAGGGGGAUGGAAUUCCGCGUGUAGCAGUGAAAUGCGUAGAUAUGCGGAGGAACACCGAUGGCGAAGGCAAUCCCCUGGGCCUGCACUGA